rnacentral:rRNA from 1 species
CGCAUCAAGAAUCAAUCCCACAAGUUCAAGAGGAGAGGUCUCGUAUUCCGGAUAAACAAUAAUAAGAAAAUGAGAAAGGAAACCUUUCGGAUCAGAGUCUUCCUUUUUCUUCGUUAGAGGUCAGGAUCAAUAAGAAAGUCAACCUUGCGGAUCUCAUUCUCUGGGUCUGAGACACGACCCGAACUCCCACGAGGGGCAGCAGUGGGGAAUCUUGGACAAUGUGCGAAAGCCCGAUCCAGCAAUAUCACGUGAGUGAAGAAGGGCAAUGCCGCUUGUAAAGCUCUUUCCUCGAGUGCGCGAUCAUGAUAGGACUCGAGGAAGAUGCCUCGGCUAACUCUGUGUCAAUAGCCGCGUAAGACGGGGGGAGGGGGCAAGUAUUCUUUAGAAUGACUGGGCGUAAAGGACAUGUAGGUGGUGAAUCAAGUUGAAAGUUCAAGUCUCUAAAAACUGGUGGAAUGCUCUCGAAACCCAUUCAUUUGAGUGAGAUAGAGGAGAGUGGAAUUUCGUUUGUAGGAGUGAAAUCUGGAGAUAUACGAAGGAAGGCCAAAAGCAAAGGCAGCUCUCUAGGUCCCUCGACGUUGCAAUGUGAAAGCAUGGAAAGUGAACGUGAUUAGAUACCUUGGUAGUCCAUGUCGUAAAUGAUGAUUGUUCGCCCUUGGUUUAGGCGGAUCAGAGGCCCGACUAACGCGUGAAACACUCCGCCUGGCAAGUACAGUCGCAAGAUCAAAACUUAAAGGAAUUGACGGGGGCCUACACAAGCGGUGGAGCAUGUGGUUUAAUUCGAUACAAAGCAUUAAACCCUAUCAGCCCUUGACAUAUGAACAAGAAAACCUGUCCUUAACGGAAUGGUAAUUUCAUACAGGUACUGCAUGGCUGUCGCCAGCUUGUGUUGUCAGAUGUUUGGUCAAGUCCUAUAACGAGCGAAACCCUCAUUUUGUGUUGUUAAGACAUGUGCCUAAGGAUCAAGUCUUUACAACCGAAGUUCGUCGAGAAGCUGAGUGAAGUGCUAGCGUGACUAAUUGACUGCCAGCACAUAGCAGUGCUCUCAAUAAAAAAGGAGCCUUAUCCUUUCGAAGGAAGCACUUGAGAGUGCAUGCUUUAGUUUGAUUGUGUUAGCGCCUUUUAUUAAAUCGGCAUUCAGGCAAGCCAUUCGAUGGUGUGGUACGAAGUGGGUUUAGUACACACUGCCAAAACGGGUCUUCACUAUAGUGAAAGGUACGUGCUGCACUCACGAGGGACUGCCAGUGAGAUACCGGAGGAAGGUAGGGAUGAUGUCAAGUCUGCAUGGCCUUAUGGGCUGGGUCAAACACGUACUACAAUGGCAAUGAAAAUGGGAAGUAAGGCUGUAAGGCGGGGAAAAUCCGAAAAGAUUGCCUCAGUUUGGAUUUUUCUAUGCAACUCAGGAAUAUGAAGUUGGAAUCACUAGUAAUCACGAAUUAGCAUGCCAUAGUUAAUAUGUGCCGGACCUUGUACAUACCGCCCGUUAAACCCUGGGAAUGGGUUUCGCCCGAAGCAUCGAACCAAUUAUCAACCAUGACUUCCAUGUACCUCUAGUGCCACAAAGGCUUUUGGUGGUCUUAUUGGCACAUACCACGGUGGGGUCUUCGACUAGGGUGAAGCAUAACAAGGUAGCUGUAGGGGAACCUGUGGCUGGAUUGAAUCCUAU